rnacentral:rRNA from 1 species
GAUGAACGCUGGCGGCGUGCCUAAUACAUGCAAGUCGAGCGAACGGAUGAGAAGCUUGCUUCUCUGAUGUUAGCGGCGGACAGGUGAGUAACACGUGGAUAACCUACCUAUAAGACUGGGAUAACUUCGGGAAACCGGAGCUAAUACCGGAUAAUAUUUUGAACCGCAUGGUUCAAAAGUGAAAGACGGUCUUGCUGUCACUUAUAGAUGGAUCCGCGCUGCAUUAGCUAGUUGGUAAGGUAACGGCUUACCAAGGCAACGAUGCAUAGCCGACCUGAGAGGGUGAUCGGCCACACUGGAACUGAGACACGGUCCAGACUCCUACGGGAGGCAGCAGUAGGGAAUCUUCCGCAAUGGGCGAAAGCCUGACGGAGCAACGCCGCGUGAGUGAUGGAGGUCUUCGGAUCGUAAAACUCUGUUAUUAGGGAAGAACAUAUGUGUAAGUAACUGUGCACAUCUUGACGGUACCUAAUCAGAAAGCCACGGCUAACUACGUG